rfam:Ciona savignyi cont_5614, whole genome shotgun sequence.
GCCUCUAUAGUUCAGUAGCAGAGCACUGGUCUUGUAAACCAGGGGUCGUCAGUUUAAUCCUCACUGGAGGCA